AUCUGCCUCCACUUCCUCUCUCUCUCUCCCACCGUUCCUCUGCGCCGCCUCCUCUCCUCCCGAUCCCCUCCUCUUCGUCGUGCGCGGCGGCUGGCGCAGCUCCUCGCGCCGCCGUUCGUCCCCGCCUCCCCUCCCUCCUCCCCAAUCCCCGCCUCCUCUCCCUCCUCCUCAAUCCGCCACCUCCUCUCCAAUCCGGCAUCGACGUGCUCAGGAGGAGCCCUCGAUCUGGGGUGGUCACACACGGACGGGAGACUGCAGAGACGGAGACCAAGGUCGCGGUUUCGGGGGCUGCGCACACGUCGAGCAACGGCGGACGGGAGAGGGUCACGACAGCAGUGGCGUCCCUGCAGGAGAGAGAGAAGACGAGGGAGAGCGAAGUAAGGAGGGGAGGGACAAGGAAAGGACAGAGGAGAGGGAGGUGCAGCGGCGGGAGAAGAAUACGGGAAGGAGGAGGAGGUCAGCCGCGUCCCUGGGGUGCCGUUGGAGCUGCUUCUCCGUGUCCGGUCGUGGAGAGAGCCAUGGUGGGCUGGUGGCAGCACACUCCCGCCCACUCUGCCACAAGAGAUCAACCCACCACUGGAUUAAGGUGAGGCACAAACAGCUCCCAUCCUCGCCAUAUUUGGCCCUCUAGAUGUUCGAUGAAAGUUUCAGAAGGCUGGAGGGGAGGAGUGAUCUAUAUAAUAAAGUACUGGCAGUUGAACCAGUGUGUUAUAUGUGCUCAUGCUUGCCCAUGCUAAAUGCUCUCCUCUCGGUAAAACUAUGAUGCUUUAUUCUUAGAUAUCUUGGUUAGCAUCACAACAGCUUUUAGCAUUCACGGUGCAUGAUGGAUGCAAGUUUUUUUGUGUAUUCACGAAGACCUUGCUACUUGAAUAUUCACUGUGUACUCCGGCAGCGAUUUCCUUGGGAAGAUAGACCCGUACAUGGUCGUGCAGUACCGGAGCCAGGAGCGCAAGGGCAGCACCGCCUGAGAUGCGACGGACGCUGCCAGGUCCGUGCCGACAUCGUGCUCACGGAGCCUGGCCUUUGUGUUGUGUUCUCCAUCUUGCAGCGCAUGAUGAACUACACGGUAGAGUUCAGCUGAAGAAGAAUGAGGUGAGAUUCUGGAUUGUUGUGUAAUUGUUUAUAUUGCUAACUGAGACGGGAUUACAGUUUAUUUGCUUGAUUAUUGGUCGUGUUUGCUUAGAUAGGCCAUUGAUGGUUGAUCUUGUUAGCUACAGAUGCUACCCCUUGUUUGUUUAUAUUGCUAGCUGAGAUGGGAUUACAGUUUAUUUGCUUGAUUAUUGGUCGCAUUUAAUUAGAUAAGUCAUUGAUGGUUGAUCUUGCUAGCUAUAGAUGCUAACCCCUGUUCCGAACAAGCUUUGUUCCGAAUAAGCUUUAAUUUUGGUGGACUAAUCCCUGUUUGACGAAGUUGCUGGUCGUCAACAAAAAGCCGACCACAUAAUCCCGUAUUUUAUUUCAAAGACGCAAAGUAUCAAGCAUCAAGAGAGGUUAAAUAAAAUAGUAUAAUGCCUUAACCAGUGGGCUAAUGCAAACAUAAAAGCAUGGAAGUUUACUUCAAGACAUACAAAUUGUUACCCUAUAUUCUGAAAUCUUAUUCCUCGGUGUUCAGCUGCAGACUGUGCUCAGAUUGUUUUCGUGCCAGAAAUGAAACAGGCAUGGUUUUCACAAACGCGUCCUGUUUCAAUGGCUUAAACUGUUGGUCCUCGCAUGGCAAUGUCCCUGCUGGUGUUCGUGGAGUUGGUCAGCAACUAUUUUAUGGCCAGCAACCUCCAACGUUUAUUAAUCCACUACAGAUAUGAGAAAGAAGAGAAGAAGAAGAAUCUUGAAGAAGAUUUUAGUGAAGAACAAGGUGAAUUCUCUCUCUCUAAUAAAGUCACGUUUUGUAUGCAUUAAUCAACUUCCUUUCUUUUCAAAAUAAAGUUGUAUUUCGUAGAAAAUCUACUGGGCUGCCACCACAGUUCUCUCCGUGUGCGACAGAAAGAGAGAGUGAGGGGAAAGAUAUAGAUCAGGGUCAUCAACACUUACCUCGCCAUCUUCGUCAACCUGGCCAUGUUGUCGUCCUCGUAGGCGAGGAGGCAUGGAGCCGCGGUGCUGCUCGUUUAGGCACAGACCGGGUCAGCUCGAUCUCUUGCUACAAAAGGGGCGGAUCAAGAUAGUCAGGGAUUCUCAAGCCUGUGCAAAAUUUCUAAUCCCUCACACGCGUCUAUAGAUAAGCUAUUAUACAAUCGACUAUCGGAUCGAAAGGUUCCACGGCCUUUUACAUACUCACACGGGGAAACCACAAGCGCAAGUAACCCCAAGCAGAGGUGUGCCUGGGUGAGAGGGGGUGUACCAGGAGGUGGAUGCCCCGUAGGCAACGUUGAAGGCGUCGGAGGUGCGGGCGCCCCGCCGGCGUCCAUGGCGACGCCGCACACCAGCGGCCCGAGCGGCUAGGGUUGGAGGACCUGCAGGUCAAAUUAGCGCAGUGGAGGACCUGCAGGUCGAAUUAACCAUUCAGUAAAAUGAACCUGUGCUUUCAGGUUCCAGUAGUUAUUUCUGUUUACUAUUUACUCGCGCUGUCAUAUAUUUGCUGGUUUUUUUUUCAGGAUCUUGGAAAAUGUUUUCUCAUUGUGGUUCAGGUUAAAUUAUUGUCCUACUGUUCCUGCUCAGCCUCCUAAUGUUCUAUGUCUUUGCUGCGCCUUCUUCCAGCUUCUCUAUUAGUUUUCUCUUCACACCGAUGUAAGUACAUGUUCCUCCCUUCCUCCAAAUCUUCUCCUGCCAUGGUCGUUUGCAUCUGGUCAUAGUUGUUUGCAUGUUUCGCUUUUGUUGGUGGUUCAUGCGUCAGCCUCAGUGCUCUGAGCAGACCAGCAUUUCUCAUCUUGGCGAUUGUAUUAUUGGGGCUUUGCUACAUCUGUAGAUUUGAAUUGAUGUCUAGAAAUGCAGAGUGCCAUUUUGUCUUAUGGAGUGAUAAUUAAGCAGACAUACAUAGCUGCAAAAGGGAUUGCUCAAAUGAAACAAGUUGCUAAUUUUGUAUCUUUGACACUCAUGGAAAAGGUGCAUGCCAAUCCUAAUUAUAAUCGUAUCACACAGAUGGAACUGCAUUAGACUAAUGGUGUUAUCAGGAUGACAAAUUUCAGUCACAGAACUGAACUGUUGCUUUUCUCGGUGUAUAUGUGUCAUAUACAGAAUUCAGAAAAAAUGUUGGAUAUUACAAUUCAUAUAUUUCUAUUUAGAAUCGAGAUUGUUAGGAUAUGAUAUGGUCUUUUUCCAGGGGCUCUAAGUAUUAUGAACAUGCAUAUAGCUGGCACCUAACACGUUCCUUUCCUGAUACAUAUAAUUAUAAGGCAGUUACAAGCUAGCUGGACAUGUGUGACAAAGUGAUUGCAUUUCAGUUUAUAUAGGAAGAGGAGCAUCAAUACCUUCUUCUCCUGCACUGUAUAUGUAACGUCUUCGUUCCAAGCAAUUAGUAUAUGGUAUUAGAGAUUCUUAGAUUAAUACAUUUGUUUGGAACUUGGUGGAUUACUACCAUCUCUGUAUAAUUACAACAAAACCAAUAGGUCAGAGUGACGUGUCUCUUAGUGCCACCGAUUGGGUACAGAUGAAGCCUCCCAUCCCACAGGCUCAUUGUUUCUACCUCAAACCAAUCCCUUGGCCUCCUUCUAAAUUAUUGAUACAUCCAUUUCUUCACUUAUUUAUUUUGAGGUCACAUAUUGUAGAUCCAAUUCCUUAUUAUUAUUGUUAAAGAAUUAGCCUAACAUCAUACAUGGAUUGACACUGAAUAUGUAAUUAAUGUGUUGAAAUAAAUUUAUUCAUCACCUGAUAGUAUGAAGGAAUAACGGUGGCAUUUCAAUACGUUUGUUUCAGUAAUGUAUGCAGUGUUGGCAAAGAACCUGCGGAACCUAAGUUGGUUGAAUGGACCGAAAGAGCCAACAUGUUUGACCGCUGCCGAUGGAAGCUUUCCAGAGAGGUGGCUCAGCAGGUGGGCGAUGGCGGACGCGGAUCUCACGCGGCUCCUGCUCCCAGCCACCAUCUCCUCCCUAGCUAAGCAAGAGGUUCGACGACCACCGCUACCUCUUCCUUGCCGCCAAGCAGGAGGGGCACUAGGAAAAUUACAUAUCAGGAGAGGCAUUUAUUAGAGGAUCUUCUAGAAAGCUUUUUAUAUUUGGUUCCUGGAAGGCUGGUACGGAGCUGUGUUUUUUCAUGAUUCAUAAUCAUUAUAUCUGAUUCAUAAGAAACAGUGAGAUGCUUUGUUAUGAGUUACGAUAUAGGCUUUGUAAAAUUUGCAUGCAAUCUGUUGAUGGUUAGGCUUCGAGCUCCAUUUCAAUAACUUUAGCGCUUUUUCCUGAUCCUCUCGAAUGUUCUUAUCUAUUACAAUGAAUUACUGCAGAUCCAGUUUACAUCUAUAAUCCAAGGAGGCAAAGUUCUUGUGACUUAAUCUCAUUUAGAACCUGUCUUCAUUAAUAUGGUCAUUCCUUUGUCUAAAUCUUGCUAUGGUUAACUCCUUGGCUGCAACAUUGUUGAGGGUGGAUGCAAGAUUUGUUGUGUUUCCCAAUGCAUCAUUCUGUACAAUUCUUCACAUCAACACUGAUGCCUAUACGACAGGCUAUACAUCUUUGUAAUGUAAUCUUGUGCAUGUCAAUGGCACCGGCAGUGGUUUAAAACAUAAGCUGAUGCAUA